AAUCUACCUUAAAAUCUGGAAUAACCGGCCGAAAGGCUGGCUAAUACUGGAUAGUUCAAGUGCAUCAUAACGGUGCGAUUGGGAAAGGGAGCUCGCAAGAGCCUUCGUUUUAAGAUGAGCCCGCGUCUGAUUAGCUAGUUGGUGAGGUAAUGGCUCACCAAGGCUGAGAUCAGUAGCUGGUCUGAGAGGAUGAUCAGCCACACUGGAACUGAAACACGGUCCAGACUCCUACGGGAGGCAGCAGUGGGGAAUCUUGCGCAAUGGACGAAAGUCUGACGCAGCCACGCCGCGUGAGU
rnacentral:rRNA from 1 species